GAUGAACGCUGGCGGCGUGCCUAAUACAUGCAAGUCGAGCGAACGGACGAGAAGCUUGCUUCUCUGAUGUUAGCGGCGGACGGGUGAGUAACACGUGGAUAACCUACCUAUAAGACUGGGAUAACUUCGGGAUACCGGAGCUAAUACCGGAUGAUAUUUUGAACCGCAUGGUUCAAAAGUGAAAGACAGUCUUGCUGUCACUUAUAGAUGGAUCCGCGCUGCAUUAGCUAGUUGGUAAGGUAACGGCUUACCAAGGCAACGAUGCAUAGCCGACCUGAGAGGGUGAUCGGCCACACUGGAACUGAGACACGGUCCAGACUCCUACGGGAGGCAGCAGUAGGGAAUCUUCCGCAAUGGGCGAAAGCCUGACGGAGCAACGCCGCGUGAGUGAUGAAGGUCUUCGGAUCGUAAAACUCUGUUAUUAGGGAAGAACAUAUGUGUAAGUAACUGUGCACAUCUUGACGGUACCUAAUCAGAAAGCCACGGCUAACUACGUG
rnacentral:rRNA from 1 species